GCCCCCCCGCCCCCAGCCAAGACCACCGCUAUCACUGUGUCCUGCUCGCCACCUUGUCUGUCUGCCACAUGUGAUGGGUUGUUCCUCCAGGACUUUUCUUCAGAUUCCCAAGGGGAGAUCCUCCCCAAAGCCAGCUCCAGGGCAGUCUUUGAACACAACUGGUGUCAAGAAUAUUUUUCAGAACAAAAGUGAUCCAUAUCGGUGUGCAUUUUUGGGAAAGGAAGACCCUGGAGAUGAUAGUGUAUUCUUCUCAGUGCAUCAGGAGGCAUCCUGUGCUAAUCUGGCCCAUGUUUGUGACGUUAACCAUGAUCACUUGGUUAAGGUGGUGCUGUCAUAUUUUUCCACUGUAAAAUCACUUCUUCUCCUUUGUAAUCAAAGGCAUCUUCAUAUAUAUUUCUAAAAGCUUCAUUGAGAUAUCAUAAAAUUCAUCCACCUCAAGGCAUAAUUCAGUGAUUCUUUUAUUUUGGUAAAUUUAGCUGUGCAGCCAUCAUCACAAUCUAAUUUUUUAAAAAAUUUCCAUUGUCGCCACAAGACCCUCUGUCUCAUUUGCAGUAGAUUCCCAUUCGCACUCUCCACCCCAGGCAGUCACUACUUUCUGUAUCUAUAGAUUUGAUUUUGGGGGGUAUAUUUCCUUUAAAUGGAAUCAUACAAUGUAUAGUCUGUGUCCGACUGGCUCCAUUUAAAUUUACUCUGGUUAGAGAACUAGAUCCUGCAUUCCAAAACUAAGACCUGAAGUAGCCAAAUAAAACAUUUUUAAAAAUAACUUUACUCACUUGUAUAAUAUUUAAGACUAUAUCUAUUGUGUUGAUGAACCACAACUUAUUAAAAUAUUCCCCUAAAUCCUGAAUUUGAUCUCCAUGUUGUAGCAUAUAUC
ensembl:lncRNA